GACGAACGCUGGCGGCGUGCUUAACACAUGCAAGUCGAACGAUGAAGCCGGAGCUUGCUCUGGUGAAUUAGUGGCGAACGGGUGAGUAACACGUGAGUAACCUGCCCUUGACUCUGGGAUAACUGCGGGAAACUGUAGCUAAUACCGGAUACGACCCUCGGAGGCAUCUCCUGGGGGUGGAAAGAAUUUCGGUCAAGGAUGGACUCGCGGCCUAUCAGCUAGUUGGUGAGGUAAAGGCUCACCAAGGCGACGACGGGUAGCCGGCCUGAGAGGGUGACCGGCCACACUGGGACUGAGACACGGCCCAGACUCCUACGGGAGGCAGCAGUGGGGAAUAUUGCACAAUGGGCGCAAGCCUGAUGCAGCAACGCCGCGUGAGGGAUGACGGCCUUCGGGUUGUAAACCUCUUUUAGCAGGGAAGAAGCGAAAGUGACGGUACCUGCAGAAGAAGGACCGGCCAACUACGUGCCAGCCGCCGCCGUAA
rnacentral:rRNA from 1 species